UCCUGGUGGCUAAGAUGGUAAAGAAUCUGCCUGCAAUGCAGAAGACCUGAGUUCGAUCCUUGGAUUGGGGA
rnacentral:tRNA from 1 species